UACGAAGGGGGCUAGCGUUGUUCGGAAUUACUGGGCGUAAAGCGCACGUAGGCGGACUAUUAAGUCAGGGGUGAAAGCCCGGGGCUCAACCUCGGAAUUGCCUUCAAUACUGGCUGUCUUGAGUGUGAGAGAGGUGUGUGGAACUCCGAGUGUAGAGGCGAAAUUCGUAGAUAUUCGGAAGAACACCAGUGGCGAAGGCGACACACUGGCUCACUACUGACGCUGAGGCGCGAAAGCGUGGGGAGCAAACAGG
rnacentral:rRNA from 1 species